rnacentral:lncRNA from 1 species
UUUCUAAUCAGGACCACUUCUUCUACUUCAUAAAUAGCAUGCUUUUCUGUGGGGAAUACCUGAGCGAGAGGAAUUGAGGCUGGCCGUGUGAGAUUGGUGAGUAAAAUUUGGCCUUCACGAAAGAACUGACUGUGUGCAAUUAUUGUUGUAUUAUGUACCCCUUUCUUCCUUUUUUUUUUUUUUUUUUGAAAGCACUCUUUCAUUCCACACAUUCUAUGUGCCAGCAAUCAUGACAGUCUGGGUUUCAAAAAUGUUUUCUGAGCCAACUCUGGGGGAAGGGUAGCUGUUACCACUCUCUCAAAGCAAACAGUCCGUGUGUCUUCCCAAAUGCUGGGCUUUGGAAGUGUAAAGUUAGCUCGGAUCUCAGUGUAAAUGUACCUGUGAAAGCAUAGCAGGAGUGAGCAUCCCGGGGAGAGGGCGUCUAGCUUCCCCUUCAUGCGUGCUGCAAUCUGUGGGUUUCCCAGCAGUCACAGGUUUGUUGCUAAGGUCUUUCCAUUUAUCUUCCCUUCUCCCUUUGCCUUUCUUUCACGAGAGUCACAGCUCCUUGAAAUAGCUUGCCGGAAUCAGUGCGCCUCACUUGAAACAAGUUUGAAUGAGAGUUUGGGGCUUGGUAGUUGCUCAGCAGUCCAGCUUCUGCCCAGUAUGUGCAAGGCUAUCUAUCCAGUCAGCCCUCAGCACCACAAAAACCAAAGCAGACAUCAGAGAUUGAGAGAUUUCCCUAAAACGAGUUUUCACAAUAAACAUGCCGAGUUUAAGAUCCAGGGUAAAGAGUUCCUUAGAAUCAGGAACAGCUCUACAGUCGUCAGGACCUGAUUCUGUUUCCUCCGACCUCUGAAAGCCAAAGUCCUGCACAUCGGAGCAGAGAACGCAGGGUCUGCUUACCUCCUGGGACAGGUUUUCUUGAACCUGAAUGUGAUUCAGCCUGGUCAUUAGAUCAUCCAUUACACAUUCACCUGGCCUCCCAGGCACGCUGGGUAAUUAACAAUAAUGAGUAAGAAUACUGGAUUAGACCGAUUAAAACACCUCCAUCAGUUAGUCGCAUGUCUGCAAGUUACCAAUGAUCAAAUCCAACCAAAAUCCUAUCCAGUGUCAAGGAAAAAACAAACAAACAAACAAACAACCCAGACAACCAAACGACCCCACCAAACACCAUCUGUUGACAGGCUUUUGCUAUCAUGGUGUCAGAAUCUGGUUGGACCGGAUGAGUCAGAAUGAAAAUGCAUCAGGUCAACAGACAGAGUGAAUAACACAGGAUUAUAAGACUAAGAUUUGGAGCCAAAGGUCUUGGCACAGAAAAUAAGCCUGGCUGGAGUUGGAACUCAAGAGCUUUUGACUUUGGCAGACCAUUACUUGAUGUAAUAGAGUUUAGUAUACUGUGAGCUUUGAGGGGGCAUAGACAGUGUCUGCUUUUACUCCGCUUACAUCUCUGACAUCAAAUAGCUAACAGUAGGCAGUUAGCAUGUAUUUUGUAAGGUAAUAAGCAAAUACAUGAGUGAUGUUUGCCUACUUGAACUUUUCUGCCCUUUGUGCCAGGAUGCAGUCUCUGGGUGAACUUCCUUCAGGGCAACUGGAGACACCAUGAAGACUGUGUGCUGUUUGGGCGACUCCCUGCUUUGGCUCUCCUAUCCCCAGCAAUCCUCAGCUGUCUCCUUUAUGCUCAGAGCCAGUUCAUUUCAUAAACUUAUUUGUAUUGUCUUGGUGAUUGAAAAGUGUGUACCUGUCUCAUGUGCUCUCUUCUUAUCGGUUUAACAGCAUGACUAAGAAUGGGGACAUUGAAAUAUAUAUUCAUAUAAAAGGUACUUAAAUGGGGUUUACCAUGUAAUGGGAAAGACAAUAACCUAACUGGACAUCAUAUACUACCAGAAAAGAUCCCCAACACAAGAAAUGAGUUACCUCUUUUUCAGUUAUUCAACAAAGGGGUACCACAGCACCUCCCAAACAUUACAGAUUAUCGCCAAUGCUAUCGCUGACCCUUCAGAACUUGAUGGUAAGGCCCCUUUGCCAUAGAUACCACAUGCUUAUGCUAUAAAACAUGGAGAAAUCAAGAUUCAACUGGAAGUUGUACUUCCACUGAGUAGCAUUCAUAGAGCUGGAUAGAACUAUAUGUUGCCAGAGUGCAUCACCGAAAUAGAGAGGCAUCUUCUUACAUUAGAUAGUAAUUAUCAUAGAGCUCCCCCAACUAGAUAAUGUGCAGAAAGUGAGAGACUUUGAACCACUCCACAUCCUUUGGGAAGUGUGCUAGGCUAGGUACCCUUUAUCAUACAGAUGUGAUUAGUAAGUCCUUAGACGGUAUUAGUUUAUAACUUUUUGAUGAAAAUGUAAACAAGUUGUAUGUCUUGUCCAAGGCCACAUAACUCUGAGGCUGAGGCUGAGAUUUGUGCUCCUGUCCUGGGAAUGGCUGCUGGCCAUCCUGAGUAGCUGAUGCACAGAAGUCACUCCUGGAAUGCUUGACAAACUCUGCAAGGAUGUCUGAUCAUCAUCUGAGACCAGCAAGUAUCAGGCAGACAGAUGUCUCGUGUUCUACGGCUAGCACCAACAUGGUCAUGAGUAAUUAAAAAACCCUCCCAUAGGACGGUAGGAACCAGAGGGGUUGAGAACAUCAUAGAAACACAACCCUCAGAGUCAACUAAGCAGACCUCAUGGGCCCCACAGAGAUGGAAGCGACAAACAUGGACUCCGUAUGGGUCUGAGGUAGGUCCUCUGCAUAUACCUUAUGAUUGUGUGGUCUGGGGUCCUUGUGCGACACCCAGCAGUGGGAGUGGGGGUGUCUCUGACUCUUCUGCCUGUGACUGGGACCCUUUUCCUCCUACUGGGUCCUCUCAUUUAGCCUUGAUAUGAGGAUUUGUGCUUAGUCCUACUGUGUCUUGAUAGGCCAUGUUUGGCUGGCAUCCCUGGGAGGCCUGCUCUCUUUUUGGAGGGGAACAGAGGAGAAGUGGAUCUGGGAAAGGGGGCUAGCAGGAGACAGAUGGACACACGACCACUGGGAGGAGUAGAGGGAUGGGAAACUGCCGUCAGGAUGUAAUAUGAGAGAGAAGAUUAAAAGUUAAGCUAAAAAAACAAUAGAGCUGGACGGUAGUGGCGCACGCCUUUGAUCCCAGCAUUUGGUAGGCAGAGGCAGGUGGAUUUCUGAGUUCAAGGCCAGUCUGGUCUACAGAGUGAGUUCCAGGACAGCCAGAGCUAUACAGAGAAACCCUGUCUCAAAAAAAAAAAAAAAAAAAAAAAAAAAAAAAAAAAAAAAAUCCCUCCCUACCCUAAAUCUGGAGUCCACAGGGACUUUCCCUUGCUUGCUCAAUCAAGAUGGGGCAGUCUCAAUAUGCUGAAUGUGUAGGGAUAAAGAGCUGAGAGUUCAAGAAGUUGAGCACACCCCUGUAACGGUGCCAACUUUGUAACCAGAUUUAUGCUAUGGUCUCAGGCAAAUCAAAUUUAACCCUUCAAGAUGCAGCCAAAUGCCCAGCUAAAUGGUCAGACUUGUCACUUAUCAGACAAGGUGGACUUUGAAACUGAGUUAGGUAGCACUGUGAGAUCUUUCACCUCCUGGGAAAAUUACACCAGAUAACUAUUGCAGUCAUUAGCCACAGUAGUACUGAUUCACUUAUUAACCCAUUUAACAAUUGCCUGUUAAGUGCUUACUACCUGCCAGGCCUUGUAUGGGGUCUGGAGGAGGUGAAGCUGGACACCACAGACAUAGCCAGCCGUCACAGAGCUCUCCAUAUACUGGGGGUGGUGAGGUGUAGGUGUUUACUAUGGGCAUGGUGCUAAGAGCUCCCCUGGAAAUAAAUCACUUAAUUUUUGCAACUGUCUUGCAAAGUACAGAAGUCAUUUCCACAUUACAGAGGAGGAAAGAGUUCAGGAAGUGGCGGCUUCGGGCCAAAGUAAAGGCCACUACCAAAAUGUAUCUCUCUGACUUUGAUGCUAUGCUCUUAGUUCUUAUAGAUGCUUGGCGUCUAUGUGACUGUAUAUCUGUGUGGAUGCCUGUCAGGGCUUGGAGGGGGGAUCUGCUCUCUAAUGAGUGUUCCAUAAAUAUCUUAUUAGCUCUCGAGUCAAGUACAGAAUGUACCAGAUGAAGAUUUAACUAAACAGAAGUGACCGUCUGAGGAAUGAGACGGUGGGCAACCUGGGAUGCAGGCAUUAGAGCCUGAGACUUCCUGCGAGCUGAUUAGGAGCCCCCGGGCAGGUAGCCAUCCCCGUCAGAAGCAGUCAAGAGUAGAGGAAUAGUAGCCACGACUAACAGGAGAUUAUUAUUUUCUAGUCAUCACUGAAGGGGAACUUUCUUUAGUCUGGUCUUGGUUUGUAUCCAUCCAAGCAACUAGGAAGGUGACUCACAGAGAAUGCUGGUGGGGUGGAUGCUGGCUGUUUCCUGGUCCUCAGAUACACCUCCUUCCCUGAGUGGCAGUUAGCGGGACUGUGUCCGGCGUCUUAGUUAGAGGGUUGGGUUCAAAGGUGCCAUCAGCUACCUUUAUAAAUAGUGCCGCCACAUUCUUCAGUCUCACUUCCACUACUGGGUUUUGGAUAGCUCUGUUUUGGAAACUAUGCUGAUUUUUUUGUCUUGCUAUCUUUUCUUGAUUUUCUUUUUUUCCCCUAAAGAAAGAUUACUAAACAUCCCUGAAUAAAAACAUUUUUUACUAAAUGUUUUACUAAAUGUUAUGUGAGGCAAACAAUCCUAUUGUUACCAUUUGGGGUAGGCCAGAGCAGGACACAAUUAGUAAGGGUCCAAGCACUAAGCCUGGCUUCCUGUGGUGGGCUUCCUGUGGUGGGCUAAUUCCAAUAGCCUGAGGCACCUCCUCCAGGUAUUCAAGUCUUUGCAGAGCUUUCCCUUGAAUGUGGUGAGUAUGGCCAUAUGCUUCCACCCCACCAUUGCAGUAAAGGAGGUGGAGUCACUCCUGGAUUUGUUACAAGAGCUUCUAGCCUCUAUUUCACCUGUGGGUUCUCAGCUGCAGGCUCUGCUCAUAAGCACUGGGGAAGCUGGAAGAAAACACACAGCUUGGAGCAUAAUGGAACUCCAUACAACCCAAGUGUGAUGGUUUGUAUAUUCUUGGGCCAGGGAGUGGCACCAUUUGGAGGUGUGGCCUUCUUUGAAUAGGUGUAUCACUGUGGGUGUGGGCUUAAUACUCUCACCCUAGGUGCCUGGAAGUCAGUCUUCUACUGGCAGCCCUUGGAUGAAGAUGUAGAACUCGCAGCUCUGCCUGUGCCAUGCCUGCCUGGAUACUGCCAUGCUCCCACCUUGAUGAUAAUGGACUGAACCUCUGAACCUGUAAGCCAGCCCCAAGUAAAUGUUGUUUUUAUAAGACUUGCCUUGGUCAUGGUAUCUGUUCACAGCAGUAAAACCCUAACUAAGACACCAAGAGCCCAUAAGAGACAGAGUUCCUCCUCAAC